AGGGCGUAUAGUUCGACGUAUUAGACCCGAAACCGAGUGAUCUAUCCAUGAGCAGGUUGAAGGUGGGGUAACACCCACUGGAGGACCGAACCCACGUCUGUUGAAAAAGACGGGGAUGACUUGUGGAUAGGGGUGAAAGGCCAAUCAAACUCGGUGAUAGCUGGUUCUCCGCGAAAGCUAUUUAGGUAGCGCGUCAAGUAUAACCAUCGGGGGUAGAGCACUGAAUGGGCUAGGGGGCCUCACCGGCUUACCAAACCUAAUCAAACUCCGAAUACCGAUGAGUUGAGCUUGGCAGACACACGGCGGGUGCUAACGUCCGUCGUGGAGAGGGAAACAACCCUGACCGUCAGCUAAGGUCCCCAAGUCACGGCUAAGUGGGAAAGGAUGUAGAGAUCCCAAAACAACCAGGAGGUUGGCUUAGAAGCAGCCAUCCUUUAAAGAAAGCGUAACAGCUCACUGGUCUAAAUAAGGGUCUCCGCGCCGAAAAUGUAUCGGGGCUCAAGCCGUGCACCGAAGCUACGGGUUCGAAAGCAGCAGUGCAGACCUUUGCGUUUUGAAGGUGUGUUACUUUUGUGGAACCCAUAUGCGUUGCAUAUGACUUAUCCUAAAUAUCGCCCAGGCAACUGGGUUAAGGCAGGCUUCUGUUAAGGGGGAGACAAAAGGCCCCCAAGUGUCAGAACGUAGAGGUCUGUGCUGCUGUUUUUGAGCGGUAGCGGAGCGUUCCGUAGGUCGAUGAAGGGUGGCUGCGAGGUCAUCUGGAGAUAUCGGAAGUGAGAAUGCUGACAUGAGUAGCGAUAAAGAGUGUGAGAGACACUCUCGCCGAAAGUCCAAGGGUUCCUGCGUAAAGCUAAUCUGCGCAGGGUUAGCCGGCCCCUAAGGCGAGGCAGAAAUGCGUAGUCGAUGGGAAUCAGGUCAAUAUUCCUGAGCCUGGAGGAUGUGACGAAUAGUGAAUAUGGUAUUUCCUUAUUGGAUUGGAGAUGCCUUGAAGCUGUUCCAGGAAAUAGCCCUCCAUUAAGACCGUACCCGAAACCAACACAGGUGGACUGGUAGAGCAUACCAAGGCGCUUGAGAGAACUGCAUUGAAGGAACUCGGCAAAAUGCCUCCGUAACUUCGGGAGAAGGAGGCCCAGUGGGCGGGCAACCGUCCAUUGGGGGCACAGACCAGGGGGUAGCGACUGUUUACUAAAAACACAGGGCUCUGCGAAGCCGUAAGGCGACGUAUAGGGUCUGACGCCUGCCCGGUGCCGGAAGGUUAAAAGGAGAUGUGAGAGCAUUGAAUUGAAGCCCCGGUAAACGGCGGCCGUAACUAUAACGGUCCUAAGGUAGCGAAAUUCCUUGUCGGGUAAGUUCCGACCUGCACGAAUGGCGUAACGACUUCCCCACUGUCUCCAAUGCAGAC
rnacentral:rRNA from 1 species